rnacentral:rRNA from 1 species
UACAGGGGGGGCAAGCGUUGUUCGGAAUUACUGGGCGUAAAGGGCUCGUAGGCGGCCAACUAAGUCACACGUGAAAUCCCUCGGCUCAACCGAGGAACUGCGUCUGAUACUGGAAGGCUUGAAUCCGGGAGAGGGAUGUGGAAUUCCAGGUGUAGCGGUGAAAUGCGUAGAUAUCUGGAGGAACACCGGUGGCGAAGGCGACUUCCUGGCCUGUUCUUGACGCUGAGGCGCGAAAGCUAGGGGAGCAAACGGG